rnacentral:rRNA from 1 species
ACGCUCGACACCUACGGGGGCAGCAGUAGGGAAGUUUUACGGUCAAUGGGGGGAACCCGGUACGACCGACGGCAACGCCGCCGUGAAGGAAGGAAGGAAUUCGUUUCUGUAAACUUACUUGUUAUUAAAGGAAAGGAAACGGCGGAUAUAGGGAAGUGAUAUCCGAGUGACGGUACUUUAUUGAGAAAGCCACGGCUAACUACGUGCCAGCAGCCGUGGUAAUCUGAGCGGGCUGGCAAGGC